AAAUUGGUGAAGAUGUGGGCUGAGACAAUGU
rnacentral:piRNA from 2 species